UCCCUAUCUACUAUCUAGCGAAACCACAGC
rnacentral:piRNA from 1 species